UACGUAGGUCCCGAGCGUUGUCCGGAUUUAUUGGGCGUAAAGCGAGCGCAGGUGGUUUAUUAAGUCUGGUGUAAAAGGCAGUGGCUCAACCAUUGUAUGCAUUGGAAACUGGUAGACUUGAGUGCAGGAGAGGAGAGUGGAAUUCCAUGUGUAGCGGUGAAAUGCGUAGAUAUAUGGAGGAACACCGGUAGUGAAAGCGGCUCUCUGGCCUGUAACUGACACUGAGGCUCGAAAGCGUGGGGAGCAAACAGG
rnacentral:rRNA from 1 species